UCUUCGGAACUUAGCGGCGAAUGGGUGAGUAACACGUACUUAACGUACCUCUUAGAUUGGGAUAACGCUGAGAAAUUAGCGCUAAUACCGGAUACUUAUAAGGAAGGCAUCUUCCUUAUAUAAAAGGAGCUCUCAAGCUCCACUAGGAGAUCGGGGUGCGGAACAUUAGCUAGUUGGUAAGGUAAUGGCUUACCAAGGCUAUGAUGUUUAACGGGGUUGAGAGACUGAUCCGUCACACUGGGACUGAGAUACGGCCCAGACUCCUACGGGAGGCAGCAGUAGGGAAUUUUCCACAAUGGGCGAAAGCCUGAUGGAGCGACACAGCGUGCAGGAUGAAGGCCUUCGGGUUGUAAACUGCUGUUAUUUAGGAUGAAAAAAUAGUAGAGGAAAUGCUAUUAUCUUGACAGUACUAAAUCAGAAAGCAACGGCUAACUAUGUGCCAGCAGCCGCGGUAAUACAUAGGUUGCAAGCGUUAUCCGGAAUUAUUGGGCGUAAAGCGUCUGUAGGUUGUUAGUUAAGUCUGGCGUCAAAACUUGGGGCUCAACCCCAAAUCGCGUUGGAUACUGGCUAACUAGAAUUGUGUAGAGGUUAACGGAAUUCCUUGUGAAGCGGUGAAAUGCGUAGAUAUAAGGAAGAACAUCAACUUGGCGAAGGCAGUUAACUGGGCACAUAUUGACACUGAGAGACGAAAGCGUGGGGAGCAAACAGGAUUAGAUACCCUGGUAGUCCACGCCGUAAACGAUGAUGAUUAGCUGAUGGGAACCAUCGGCGCAGCUAACGCAUUAAAUCAUCCGCCUGAGUAGUAUGCUCGCAAGAGUGAAACUUAAAGGAAUUGACGGGGAUCCGCACAAGCGGUGGAGCAUGUGGUUUAAUUUGAAGAUACGCGUAGAACCUUACCCACUCUUGACAUCUUCUGCGAAGCUA
rnacentral:rRNA from 1 species